UGGUAUAAUUCAAGGUAUAACUAUAAAAUUUAAAUAUCUAAAAAUGUCCGUGUAAACAGACUACCCUGA
rnacentral:tRNA from 1 species